rnacentral:rRNA from 1 species
CCCUUAGAUGUCCUGGGCGGCCCGCGCGCUACAAUGUCAGCUACUGAAGGUUAAUGCUUUGAAAGAGAGCGCGCUCUCCUUUUAAUUGCUCGCAUGCUGGGAUAAAUGAAUGCAAUUUUGUUUUGAACGAGGAAUUCCUAGUAGCCAUGUUUCACUAGAAGAUGGCGAAUGCGUCCCUGCCCUUUGUACACACCGCCCGUCGCUCCUACCGAUUGAGUGGUCCGGUGAGGCUUUGGGAUCUGAGCGGAAAGAGCGUUUCGCUGUUUCUGCUCGGAAAACUCAGUCGAACCUUAUCAUUUAGAGGAAGGAGAAGUCGUAACA